GCCCGCUCAGAAACUUAAAGGAAUUGACGGGGCCCGCACAAGCGGAGGAACAUGUGGUUUAAUUCGAUGAUACGCGAGGAACCUUACCUGGGCUUAAAUGGGGAGUGACAGCUGUCGAAAGAUGGUUUUCUUCGGACACUCUUCAAGGUGCUGCAUGGUUGUCGUCAGCUCGUGCCGUGAGGUGUCGGGUUAAGUCCCAUAACGAGCGCAACCCUUACCGUUAGUUACCAUCAGGUUAAGCUGGGGACUCUAGCGGGACUGCCACCGUAAGGUGAGAGGAAGGUGGGGAUGACGUCAAAUCAGCACGGCCCUUAUGUCCAGGGCUACACACGUGUUACAAUGGCCGGUACAAAGGGCAGCUACUUCGCGAGAAGAUGCUAAUCUCGAAAGCCGGUCUCAGUUCGGAUCGAAGUCUGCAACCCGACUUCGUGAAGCUGGAUUUGCUAGUAAUCGCGCAUCAGCCAUGGCGCGGUGAAUACGUUCCCGGGCCUU
rnacentral:rRNA from 1 species